CGCCUUAUCUUCGUGAAAAGGGACGCUUCAGUCACCAGGCUACAACAUAGCCGAAUUCAUCACACAAUACCAUCUGUGUGAUGAAGUGACUCAAAAAAAAUAGUUCAACUAAAUUAAUCCAUAGUUUUCGUAUCAAUAACGGUUUAUAUAGUUUACGAAAAAUAAAUAAUUUCAAACAUCCGAAGAAGAUGAGUCAAAAUACUGUAUUUCCAAUAAUUUUUCAAUGCAUUGAGUAGUCGCCAUUUUUCUUUGAGUUUGAGAUUAGUAAAAUUGGAGUUUAGUUUUGUUUAAGAAAAAAAAGAUUCUCCACAGAAAAAAAAAUCGAUCAAUGACCAAACACAAGUGGAGCGAGCGCCUAUCACACCGCUGGGCGUUUCUGGAAUAGACCAAUUGAUGGAAGCCUGAUGUUUACUGACUGUUACACGUUGUUGCGGGACGUCUACGUAUCCAAUACUGACGACCUAAGCUAAGCCUAAGGCUGUCAGUACCUAGGUAAACCUUUGAAGUUCAAUGAGUCCCAUACCAUUACGCCACUACACCCAAAUCGUCAUUUUUAAGAAAAAAAAAUUAAAAAAAAAUCGAUCGAUGACCAAGCAAAAGUGGAGCGAGCGCCUAUCACACCGCUGGGCUUUUCUGGAAUAGGCACAUUGAUGGAAGCCUAAGGUUUACUGACCAUUAGACGUUGUUGAUGGACGUCUACAUAGCCAAUACUGAUGUGCUAAGCUAAGCCUAAGUCUGUCAGUACCUAGGUAAACCUUUGAUUUUCAAUGCGUCCCACACCAUUACGCCACUACGCCCCGAUCGCAGAUAAAAUUAUUUUUCAACACAAUCUAAAAAACCACAAGAAAUUUUCCGUCUCAUUCUAACCAAUAAAAAUUUGCAUCACUACGUAA